UACGGAGGGUGCAAACGUUGCUCGGAAUCAUUGGGCGUAAAGCGCACGUAGGCGGUCCGGUAAGUCGGAUGUGAAAUCCCUCGGCUCAACCGAGGAAGUGCAUCCGAAACUGCCGGGCUUGAGUACGGAAGAGGGUCUCGGAAUUCCCGGUGUAGAGGUGAAAUUCGUAGAUAUCGGGAGGAACACCAGUGGCGAAGGCGGAGACCUGGGCCGAUACUGACGCUGAGGUGCGAAAGCGUGGGGAGCAAACAGG
rnacentral:rRNA from 1 species